AGCACGAUGUAGCAAUACAUUGGUGGCGACCGGCGCACGGGUGAGUAACGCGUAUGCAACCUACCUAUCAGAGGGGAAUAACCCGGCGAAAGUCGGACUAAUACCGCAUAAAACAGGGGUUCCACAUGGAAAUAUUUGUUAAAGAAUUAUCGCUGAUAGAUGGGCAUGCGUUCCAUUAGAUAGUUGGUGAGGUAACGGCUCACCAAGUCCACGAUGGAUAGGGGUUCUGAGAGGAAGGUCCCCCACACUGGUACUGAGACACGGACCAGACUCCUACGGGAGGCAGCAGUGAGGAAUAUUGGUCAAUGGGCGAGAGCCUGAACCAGCCAAGUCGCGUGAAGGAUGAAGGAUCUAUGGUUUGUAAACUUCUUUUAUAUGGGAAUAAAGUGAGGAACGUGUUCCUUUUUGUAUGUACCAUAUGAAUAAGCAUCGGCUAACUCCGUGCCAGCAGCCGCGGUAAUACGGAGGAUGCGAGCGUUAUCCGGAUUUAUUGGGUUUAAAGGGUGCGUAGGUGGUUAAUUAAGUCAGCGGUGAAAGUUUGUGGCUCAACCAUAAAAUUGCCGUUGAAACUGGUUGACUUGAGUAUAUUUGAGGUAGGCGGAAUGCGUGGUGUAGCGGUGAAAUGCAUAGAUAUCACGCAGAACUCCGAUUGCGAAGGCAGCUUACUAAACUAUAACUGACACUGAAGCACGAAAGCGUGGGGAUCAAACAGGAUUAGAUACCCUGGUAGUCCACGCAGUAAACGAUGAUUACUAGCUGUUUGCGAUACACAGUAAGCGGCACAGCGAAAGCGUUAAGUAAUCCACCUGGGGAGUACGCCGGCAACGGUGAAACUCAAAGGAAUUGACGGGGGCCCGCACAAGCGGAGGAACAUGUGGUUUAA
rnacentral:rRNA from 1 species